GGGCCAUUGCAAGGGAGGAAACCAUCCUGCCACCGGGAACCAGGAAGACGGGUGAAAGGCAAGGAAUAUGCAAAAUGAGUCUCAGCUCUCCUUUGAGACACCUUCCGGCCCUGGCAGAGUCCAGUGGCAGGAGCUUUGGUAUGAACCAUGCCCGGUAACAGGGACUGUGCAGAGGAAGAAUCCCAGCUAGCCUAUGGAUGAAGAGCUCAGUGAAAGGAGACAGGACUGAUGGCUGCCACCUUGGACCAUGAUGUGGGAGCCACGUUAUGAGAAUGGCAGAGCAACCAGAUAGCGAUGGCACCACCAAUCCCAGCCCUGGACUUCCCAUGUGCCGACGAAGACCUACUAUGCAGAGAGGAUAGAGGAGGGACACAGAGGCCGCUGGAGGUGAUUUGAAAAGGAUGAGGACACCCGGGAACAAGGCAAUGAAGGUGGCUAGGACAGAGGCAUGAGGACAGAGCCUGGGGAGGACUCAUUAGUGCAGGGCUGACAGGCAGAGCCUUCCCAGGAGCUCGGCCAGCAGAACCUGACAGCCAUGAUUUGGGCCUGCCCACUACCCUAGGGGCCCCCCAACCCAGUCCUCCCCAGAGGGCUGAGGGCCCUCCCUCCCCAUACUCAGCAAUACUCCAGAGCCUACUUCCCCAUGGAGGCCCAAUCCCCUUCCUGGACGAGGCAGCUGGUGGUGUGUGGGUGUCGGUCUGGUAAGAGAGGGACUCCUUGGAGACUGAGGCCAUGGGGGAGGGAGUGUCUGUCCAUACCUGCAGGUUUGUCCCAAAUUUAGACCCCAGGUCUGGAGGUGAACACAGCCCCACCUGAUUCCUGGGAAGCCACGCUAUCUCUGCAGCUCGCUUCUUAGAAGUGGGCUUCCUCUCCAUCCCCAUCGAACCCAGUGCAGUCAAUGCCUACUGAGCUCCUACUGAGUACACUACAUGGAUGUGGGUUCAGGUGCUAAGGAAAUAAACCAGGCCCCACACUGCAGUCCCCAGAGCGCAGUGCCCUGACAGGUUGCCCCAAGACUGUGGUGUGCUGGGAAAUGUUGAACACCCAGCUCUCUGAAGGAGAACACCUGGUUUGUGGCAGUUGCAGGUUUGUAGUGUUUUGUGAUCUAAAUCAUCCACCCUGGCCAAUUCCAAGUUGUAAACACGGAGUCCUUGAAGUCAGGAAGGCCCUGGCCCGGCUCCCAGGCCCAGCUCCAGCACCCCACUGCCAGGGGCUGCUCACCUCCUGUCCCAGGUCCUCACCCCACCACCAGCAGGUCUCGGCCCUGUGCCUCAUAGGUUCCCAGCCUUCCCCUGCUUGGGCCUUGGGUUUGGCUCUGGAGCUGACAGCCCGUGCCUUGACUGUGGCAGGUGGGCUGUGGCUGCCAGGUCAGGAAGAAUCAGUGGACAGUUGGUCACAAGCACCCUGGUCCCAAAUCUUGAAAUGCUCACGUUCUCCAACUUCUUCAACUACUACCCCACCCCUCCAGGCCCUUUCCUCUCUCUGACGGCUUCACUUCACCCCAGGGUCUCCUCCUCCUCCUCAGAAGUGGCCAUUCCCCAGCAUUUGGAGCCCAGGACCCCUCCCAGCCCUGAAGCAUUUGCCUCCCAGCCUCCCCCAAACCUUGCUCCCCUACUGCCACCCCCUGUCUGUCCCGGAGGAGGCCUCAUAGACACUUGCUGCGUGCCACUCCAAGGAGGCUGUGGUGCUCCUGCCAACUCUCCAGUGGCUGCCACAACUGCUGUCUUCAGGAGGAGGAGGGAUGGCCCCCUCAGCCUCCCUGCCUCUGCUAUCUCAGCCCCAGCGUCCUGGCAUCAUCUGCUCCACCUCCAGGCAAGUCAGAGCCAGGCUUGCCAUCUGCCUGGCAGCCUGGAGCACUGUGCCUUUAUGGCUCCCGGGUAGGACGUGGACCUGGGCCCCAGCCCCUGGGCGCCAAGGUGCCAACCCUGCAGGGGAGUUGCUUAAUGACCUUCGUGAGCAGUAAUUACACCCCAGGGCCCUCUCUUAAUAACCACGUAUUCUCCCUGUCAAUGUGCCUUAAUUGAAAAUGAGUAGGCGAUACAAGUUGCUGUGAAGUUGGCUGGCAAGCCCUUAACGUGAUAUUAAUUGUAGUAAUUAGUAGUCACUUUGUGUUGGAGUCAUCUAUAAAUAGGGGGUCCAUUAGUUUAGCAAAAGAGCAUGAUUUAAAAUGCAAAUAAAAGCCCAAUUAGACAG